rnacentral:lncRNA from 1 species
AAUGAAGCAGGGAUGGAUCCAGUUAGAUUAUUUUCGCUCAAUUCUAGUUCACCGAGAGAUUUCAAAUUCCCCAACUCUGGUGGGAUAGGACCAGAAAGGUUAUUAGCGUAGAGGUGCAGAAUGGUUAGACCCGUAGCUUUGCCUAAAGAGGCUGGGAUCAAACCUGUGAGAUUAUUAUUGUUUAAACUCAGGGUUUCAAGUGACUUUAGCUUCCCCAACUCAGGAGGGAUCGGACCAGAAAGUUUAUUUUUGAAAAGAUUCAAAAUUUACAGUUGAUUCAAGUUCCCUAGAGUGGGAGGUAUGGGCCCUGUCAGCAUGUUGGUGUCCAUGUAAACCUCUAGAAGAUUGGAGAGAUUUCCCAUUUCAGGGGGUAUAAAUCCAGAAAGAGAAUUAUUAUAAAGAUACAAAAAGGUCAAGUUUUUCAAAUUGCCAAAAGAAACAGGAAUUGGACCAUCAAGUUUGUUACUGUACAAUGCAAGCUCACUUAAAGACACUAGUUGUCCUAUUUCGGAAGGAAUCGAGCCAUUAAGUUGAUUUUCAACCAAAUGAAGAGUUCGAAGACCAGUUAUUCGGCCUAUUUCUGAUGGGAUGGUUCCUGUAAGCUGAUUUGUGGAUAUAUCAAGAUAGACGAGUUUUGAGAGUUUACCUAUUUGAGGUGGAAUGGAGCCAAAAAGUCGGUUGAUGCAUAAAUCGAUAAAAGCAGGAUAUGGGAGAGACGAGAAUGGAAACUUAUAGAGGGUGGCAUAAAUACUUGCAUUUGUGAGGUUCAGCUUGUUGACACUUCCGUCAAUGCUGCAAAAAACUCCAAACCAAUUGCAAGGACUACCACUUGCUUUUGGAUGAGUCCACGAAGUUAGAAUGGAAUUGUUCUCAUUUUUGAAAGUGGCUUUCCAUUUCAGUAAAGCAUUUGCUUCUGCAAAAGAAGCAGAAGCAGGUUUAAGACAAACAAAGAAGAGAAAAGGCAGAAACAAGAAAAAUGUAAAAAUGGGGUACUUCAACAUGGUUAUUAAACUGGGAUUUCGUUUGUGCUUGGAUUAAUUUUGAUGAUAUGAAACUGUAAUUUAUAGAUGCAAAAUUGGAAAUAAAAUCUACGUAUGUAAUGGGGUAGAAUUUCAAGUCCACUCCCUAAGUACAUUCUUGCUGGAAGACAGCAUUCUAUUACCAAAGACUUUUGAAGUGUUAAGGACCUCUGAAGUCAUUGUCUGUCUUUAAUGGGCAGAGAAAAAAAAACUGCAAAUCCAGGUCUUUAUCGGUUAUUUUUGUCAAAAUUGCCAGCAACUCAUUUAUUUAGCUACUUCAUAUUGGUUUAUAGUUCUCACCAUUUCCUGCAAGCUCAAAAGUUAACAGAACCCCGGCCAAAUAAUUAUUACCAAUUUAUUUUAUUUUUAACUCCUAACCUUCUUUGGAGGAGAUAGAAUUCAAGUGUGGUCAAUGUCUAUAUGACAAAAAAAAAAAGAAAAAAAGAAAAAAAGAAACUGUGAUUAGAAAUGGUUGAAAAAUCUAGGAAAAAUUGCAGCAAAAGCCUUAAACAUUUGAGACAUUAGCAGACUUUCCCUAAACCUUUCCAAACGCUGCAGAUGAGACCCCUUUGGACGGUUUCCAUCAAAAAUUCUGUUAGUUGACCGAAAUUUUGGACUUUGACCACAUUUUAAUUAAUUAUACAAAAUGGUAACUUUAUAUUUUUCACUUUAAAAAACUUAAAUAAAAAAAAAAAGAAUAAUAAAACAAAAUAAAAAGGAAAAAGACUUCUUCUCCUUCACCCCCAACCCCUAACAAUGUCGGUCUCUCUCUCUGACACACCCCACCCCGUGUAACACUACUGGACCUAGACGUGGCAUGCACCGAUGAUAGAUACUAACUAAAAGUCGAACCCACUAUCAAGGCUAUUACAAGUAUAAUAUAUCACUUUUUAUAUAUCAUUUUGCUAACAGAAUUUCGACAUUAUCUACCGUGUAAACAGGAUUAACCAACUUGUGAUCAAUUUCACACAAAUCCCAAACAAUAACACAAUACAAUAAAGAUAAGUCGAAACCUCAACUUUUACCAAGAAAUAAAAUGAAAUGUAUAUAUGGAUACAAAAUAUAUAGUGAGCCCCAUAACUAUCUACGAGUGAUGCAAAAUCACAUCUAGGCAUGAACAUGCGUCCCAAAACACUGACUACAUGUUCUAUGAAAUGAGUCAUACUAACAAACUCUGUCAUGUGUCUGACUUCAAAAUCAAGGCUCAACUCCAAAAAAUGCACAGAUACUCAACUGCUGCUUGAUAAGGAAAAAUGUGGAAAAAUAUAUGAGUUAAUAGUUCAGUGAGUGGAGAAGUUCAAAAUAAAUAUAUUUUUUCAUUUAUAUAUUUUUAUUGAAAAUCAAAUUCAUAUCAUUUGAUAAUUCACAAGCUACCAUCAUGUAAUUAUAGCCAAAAAGUGAAAUAUUCACAUAAGGUCAUUAAAUAUCAUCACAUCAAACGUGCUAAAAAUUCACAAAAAAUGCACUCUCUGACUGAAAUAUGUAACUUGCCCCUCGGACUAAGAACUUUUGCCAUGGGCCUUUGGCUCCCUCCGAGAACGAAAGUUGGUCUCAAAGAUCUCUCAUAAUCAAUUCUAGAAUACGGUCAAGACCCCUCAGUGAACUAUAUGUACAUGGUCCAGACCCCUUCAUCCCCGGUCCAAGAUCCCUCAGUGUAGUAUAAAACACGAUCAAAACCUCUCAGCGAAUUAGAAGAAAUAUAUAAUCACAGGUACUUUUCUGGUCGAUCUCAAAAUCAUAUCUCAUAUUUCAAUUCACAAUAUACCAUAUACAAUCUUUGAAAUCCCACAUGCAUCAUAAUAAAAGAUAUUUCCAUAAUAACGAUGUAAUUCAAACACAUAAUUGUAUAUAAUUGAACAUACUUUAACAAUAUACUUAAUUUAUAAAUAUUUUAAAAAUAUUUAUAUUUUUCCACUCACAGAACUAUGUACGUUAAAAUCAACUCGAUUGGUAAACUGUUCCGAUAUUCGUAUCGUCGUCUGAAAUAUGUUCUAAUUUUUAAAUCAAUAAUUAAUUAUUUUAAGAAAUUUCAUUAAUUAAAUAGGUGAUACGAAAUCUUAAUUAUUUCACGUUUAGGCGAUUUCUAAAGUCUCUUUAAUUACUAAAACUAAUUUUUCUUUCAUUUUACUUAAUUUCAUAGUUUAUUAUACUUAAUCCUUUCAAUAAAAUUGAAUUUAAUCUAACAAUCUAACAAUUAUAAAAUCAAACAUAACCUUCCAAUAAGUAACUUUUUACUUACCUUUCAAAAUUGAGAAAUUCAAGUCUAAUAGUAUAUAGCACUUUAUUCCUAACACAUUGGCGAAUUUUUUCUCUUUUUUCUUUCUUCUCUUCCUCUUUUUUCUCCCCCCCCCCUCCCCCCUUCUUUUUACUUUCUCUUUUUCUCUCUUCUUCUUCUCUAUAUCGUUUUACUUUGAGUGUGUAUUUUGUGUGUGUGUUAUUAAUUAAUGGUUUGGAUAGAUUUAUAAUGGAUUGUUUUGAGUGUCCACUGCCAUUUUUUUUUUAUCUUUUGUAAUUUUUUUUAAUUUGACUUUUCUUUCCAUUAAUUUAAGAUAUUACACUCUUGCCCCUGAUAUCACGAUUUUGUGACCUCGGUGAGCAGAAGGUAUCUGUUUCCAUAUCCCUUUCCAUUUCAAAAUGAGAUCCAUACACAUCAAAUCAUUUCCGCUGUAGCAAAGCUCUUGAUUUCCUUCUUCGACAAUUAAAGCUACAGUGUUUUGGGCUAAAUUCAACACAUUUUUGUUUCAUUUUCUUCUCUCCUAGGGUCAUUCAUCCUAGAUCCAUUACAUAUUGGGGCAGAACCCUCAACAUCAAGAGGUGGAGGUGGUAUCAGAAGUGGAAGAGAGAAAAGAAGCGAUUUCGGUACAACUCCCCAGGCGCUAAAUGUGAUGAUGACGGCCUCAAAAACCCUACGCAAUCCCUAUCCUUUCUCUGUAAAAAUUGCUUCUGAAGAAACAUCACAAAACCCAACAAACCAUGAAGAUCAAUGGCAAAAUGAAGAAGGAAGGAAGUAAGAAAUUGUCCAAAAAAGACCAGGAUGUUCUGAUUCGAGCUGUAGGUAAAAAGCUGGUGUUUGUUGUGGUGAGGGAACGGGGGUUUACGAUCCAGUGCCUUUUGACUGUGGUGCCCGAUGUCGUCAGUGCUCAAAUGGUGAAAUUUGCCACCAAUUUGAGAAGAAAGAGGGAAAUCGGACAAGAUUCUUUCAAUACACCAUUGCUUGAGACUGGUGGUUUCAGUCAGAGGCGGAGGUGGUGGGGGAAAAAAAUCCCUUUUUCUUUUUUUUUUCUUUUUUUUUUUUUUUUUUUUUUUUGGUUUUUGAUUUAGGUUUUUUUAAUUGUUUAAAGUGGUAAAUAUAAAGUUACCAUUUUUGUCCCUUUAUAAUUGAUUAAAAUGUGGUUAAAGUCCAAAUUUUCGAUCAACUAACGAAUUUUUUGACUGAAACCGUCUAAAGGGGUCUCAUCUGCAACGUUUGAAAAUAUUAGGGGUGACAACUGCAAUAAAUGAAAGAUUUGAGAAAAGUCUAUUAAUGUUUCAAAGGUUUGGAGCUUUUGCUACAAUUUUUCCAAAAAUUUAUAUGGAUCAAGCACAAGUACAUGACUUUUAAAUUUUUACUCUAAUGCAUUCCCUGUUUGACAUUCAUUAAAAUAAAACUCUUAUUUUUGUUGGAAUUAAUUUCCAAUCACAUAUUCUUACAGUAAAAUAUUCAGAACUUUUUCUUAUUUUUUAACCACAUCCUAAAAAAAAAUCACUAUUUCAAAACUCAUUAUUUUCAGAAAAAAAUUCCAUUUUUAAUGCUUGUCAAACAAGGAUAGAAAUAUUUAUCGUGCAGUAUUUUACACAUAAUAUAGCCAAAAUUUAAUUUCUUUUUUCUUGUUCUUCUGCAUUAUUGUCCAGGCCAGGCAUGGAACAUGCUAUGAAAGAGUUUUUACAGUAUAUUUACUAUCCAAGAAAAUUACAAAGACAGACAUUCAGGCUUCUAACAAAUACAGAGACAUCCUUUCAAGUUUUGCAACAUUCUCUCUAAAUAACAUUAACAUAUUCCCCUUGAUCAAUUAAUAGUCAUAACAUAAAAAGCAUCCGUUAAGCUAAACCAUAAUCGGAUUGCAUAGAUAGAUAGAGAAGCAAAUUCUACUAUAUAAUAAUGAAAUCACAUAUUGCUUAUGUGUUGUACAGCUCAAUUUUUCGAUCUCAAAAUGUUCACUUGCUAGAACUAAACAAACAUUUAUCUACUAAUUCUACAACGACGUACCAUAAUUUACUACUUCCAAGCUUGAUUCUGAAUUUUCCAAGUCAAUAAAAAUGGAUGAAGAAAUAAAAUUUAGCGCACUCCUCACCAUUAAGGUCAUUAGAUCAUUUUUCAAGAGACUCUUUAAAUAUAAGAUACCUUCUGUUUUAAAGAGUCAACCCUUAAAAUCAUACUUUAAGAGACUCUUUUAAUUAAUAUUUGGAGAGCCAAACUCACUCUCUAAAUGCAGUCAAAAUGUUUCAAUUUUCAAUGUAGGAAAAUAAUAAAAUAAUCUAAAGGAAAACUAGUGAAAGUCAAAUAUAGAAAAAAUUAAAAAUAUUUUUUUGUAGUAAAACUAAGUGUUAAAUAUAAAGAAUUUGUAAAAGUACUUCAAAAUUUUAACUCUUUAAAUUUAUAAAUGUUUUUCAAAUGAUAGAAUAUACUCUUUCAAAAUAGAGUCUCUUCAAGAUGCUCUUAGAUGUGGUUGCAACCUCAAAAAUUUUAUUGAGCCUAUACCGAAUAAUCCCCUCUUUGACUCCGAUUUCUUAAAACUUAUUUUCAACCAUACUUUUCAUAGGACUCACAACAUCCCAUCACCUUUCAUCAAAAUUUAUUGAGAUAUAAUUUUUAUCUAAGCCAAAUAGGGUCUAAUCAUCACCAGUCAUUUAAAUGUUUUAAUACAUCAAUUUAUUUAUUUAUUUUAAUCUUUGGAGCAGACAGAAUUCCAAGGGUGGUAAUUGCUUAUAAAACCCAAAACUGAGAUUAAAAAUGUUUGAAAGACUUACAAGGAUCACGUACAAAUUACAUGUGAAAUAUUCAUGGCGCAUACUUUCAGACAAAAUACAAUAGCCAAAAAUUUAAUUUCGUUUUCUUCAUCAUCUUCAUUAUUGUCCAGGCAACGCACGGAACAUGCUAUAUAAGAGUUUUUACAGUAUGUUACUAUUCAAGAAAAUUUUAAAGAGAGCCAUUCAGACUUGUAACAAAAUACAGACACAUCCCUUCAAGUUUAAAAAAUCACAACAUUCUCUCCUAAUAACAUAUUCCCUUUUAUAAUAAGCUUAAGCCAUAGCAAGGUUGCAUAGAUAAAUCGAGCAUCCUUGAGAAUCAAGCAGCAAAUCUAUUUAUCAGUCACCUACAGCUUAACAUCACAUAUCUAUACUGGGCAUCAAAAUUAGAAUUCCAACGUGAUUUAAGACUACAUUCAAGUUUGUUAUACUUACCAGUUAUGACAUGAUCAGAAAGUUUUUAAAGGAACUGCAGUCUGUCAUCAGCAAGAAAUUAUAACAAUCAACAGCAAAGUAAAAGCAGCAUCAACAGCUACUGCAUCAUCAUAAAACAGCACAGCAUCAAUAGCUGCUGCACCAUCUCGUCCAUCAGCAACAACUACUCCUCAUGAUCACAGCUAUAGAAGGCCAAUAAAGGUUUCAUAUAAGUAAAUUAUUCAAUUAAAUUCGUCCUUUCGCAUUUAUGAUUUUAAGAAAAAAUUAAAUGAUAAUACUUCCAAAUUUAAGUAUCUAGAUUUGGAGGAGUUAUAGCACCUGUCAUCAAGUUAGUGUCCAUGUCAACUUGUACAAGAUUGAUGAAAUUUCCCAUUUUAACAGGUACCGAUCCAAAAUGCCGAUUGUUGAUUAGAUUCAAAUAAACAAGUCUUGGAGAGCCGAGAAUGGAAAUUUACAGUGGGUGGCAUAAAUACUUGCAUUUGUGAGGUUCAGCUAUGAACACUUCCAUAGAUGCAAGAAACUUCAUACCAAUUGCAAGGAUUGGCAGUUGCUUUUGGAUGGCUUGAAAAAUUGGUGGAAUUAUGGGGCUCAAAAGUCCAUGAAUUUAGUAGUGAAUUGUAGGGAUUUUCAAAACUGGUUUUCCAUUUCAGUAGAGCAUUUGCUUCAACGGCAGAUCCAGAAGCAGGUUUAAGAUAAAUAAAGGAGAUAAUUAGUAACAAUACUACAAACUCGAUAUCAUCUAAACAACGUGAUGAAUUUUAUAUCAAAGGAUAGAAAUCUUUCCACAUCUUAAAACAAUUUAAAGCCAAAAUAUUAUAAGUCAAGGGAAAAGUGUUUCCAUUUCAUAUGACUUUCUGCAAGGUAGUUUUGCCAUAUCCACUACUUUUGGUACAAAAUAACAAUAUUCAUAGUAAACAAUAAACAAGGAAAAGUUUGAUGCCUAAAUAGCAAAAAUACAUCAAAGGAAAAAAAAUACAUAAAAACAAUUGGCAUCAUUUGCAAACUUUCAUAAAAUUCAUGCUAUUAAGAAAUCACUGAGAUGGUGGUGGAUGCACUAAGCAUAUCAGAAACAACGUCCAUGGUUGGACGAAAUUGUGGAUUGGAGUGAAUGCAUUUAGUUGCAAAUUUAACAACGAACAUCAAAAUCUCCUCUUCUUCGAGGUUGGGAUAUAGAAUGCGCGGAUCCAAAAAAUCCUUAAACUGUAAUUCUCCAUGUCUGAGACUGUCACCAGGACGAUUUCCUUUGAUCACUUCCAAAGCCAACACUCCAAAGCUGUACACAUCACACUUUUCUGUCACUUUCAUUGUGUAAGCAAGCUCUGCCAAAACAUCAGUGAACAAAUACAAUUAAAAUCAUGUAUGAACAAUCCGUGGAUGAUAUAUACGAAAAAAGAAAAAAUAUUACCCGGUGCAACAUAACCAUAUGUGCCUGCAAGAGCGCUCAAAUUCGAUGAGUCGCAUUUCAAAAACUUAGCAGUUCCAAAAUCUGAAAUAUGUGCCUCGUACUCUGUAUCAAGCAAAAUGUUGUUGCUUGAGAUAUCUCGAUGAACAAUUGGAGGAGAACAACUAUGAUGCAUGUAAGACAAAGCAUGAGCCACACCCUUCAAAAUAUUUACCCUUUUCGGCCAAUCCAAUGUCUUAGCUUCUUCAUCUAUACUUAGAGUUUUGGCAAGACUACCUCUGUCAAAGUAUUGAUAGACCAAAAACGAGUGUUGAGCAUUUGAGCAGAAACCAUAAAGUUUCACAAUGUUCCGGUGCUUGAUUCCUGUCAGUGCUCUUAUUUCGCUUAAAAACGCUCUACGAUUUGCCAUUUCAGACAAUGAAUGAAUUCUUUUCACUGCUACUAUAUCUUGUGAUGGAAGCUUCGCCUUGUAAACCCUUCCACAUCCACCCUCUCCAAUGCAAAAUGCUGCAUCAAAUUCUUUGGUGGCCUCUAAUAUGUCUUUAUACAUGACUACUCCAUCAAAAGAUGAUAUGGAAAGCAAAUCAUCUUCUGCAUCUAUUGAAUUCCUCUUUCUGCGAUCAUACAUGAUCAGGAUGCCAACGAGUGCAAAUAGAAGUAGAGGUGCCCCAAGAAGGGGAAGUACAACUCUCAAAAUGAGUUUGAGACCAUUCCCUGUCUUGUGGUUUUCAACAGGAGGAGGAACUUUGCAUGGUUUCAAUCCUGCAAUAUUACCGCACAAUCCUUUAUUCCCUCGUAGUUUUUCUAUGGAGACAUUCUGAAAGGGCUUGCCAUUAGGAAUUUGGCCCUCCAACUCAUUAUAGGAUAUAUCGAUGUCCACAGCGCCAGGCAAUAUUUGAAAACUCUCAGGAAUGAAUCCAGAGAGGCGAUUGUGUGAGAGGUUUAACAUUCCCAAGCUUGACAAAAAUCCUAUUUCAGAUGGUAUUUCUCCAGUAAGUGAAUUACUGCUCAUAUCCAAUGCAGACAAAUGAGUUAACUUACCAAUAUGAACCGGGAUUGUUUGGCUUAAAAAAUUGUAGCUCAAAUUCAAGUGAAACAACUGCCUAGAAUUUGGAAAAUUUUCAGGUAUUGGACCUCUCAGUCUGUUUCUCGAAAGGUCUAGGUAAUUUAAGCUUGACAAUGAUCCCAAUUCGUGAGGUAUAUGCCCAGAAAUUUGAUUGUCAUUCAGAUCAAUUUUCAGAAGUAAAAUUGACUUCCCAAUUUCCUUUGGGAUCCCCCCACAUAACUGGUUUGAAGAAAGAUCGAGUACUUGUAUUUGACUUAAAUUUCCAAAUUCAGGAGGAAUGCUCCCUGAAAGGUUGUUCUUCGCUAUUUUCAAUGUUUCUAGUUGUUUGCUAAUACACCAAUCAUUGGAGAGUUCACCAUAGAAUUUAUUGUCACUUAGAUCCAUGAAUGUCAAAUUUGGAUAGACACCGAAUUCUUCCGACAGAUUCCCAGAAAACUGGUUGUGAUCAAAUCGGGCUCUAGUUAAACUGGAACAAUUUUUCAAGCUUUUAGGGAUUGGACCUGAAAGUCUAUUGUUAUCCACAGUAAAAUGUUGUAUUAACCUACCGCCACAUAACUCUGGCAAAUGACCAGAAAAUUGAUUUUCAUCCAUUUCCAGGACAACAAGUUUCUUCAAUUUUCCUAGUUCACUUGGAAUGGGACCGGAAAGUUGGUUCUGACGAAGGAACAAAUAUUCUAAAUUGCUCAGGUCACCUAAUGNAAGGUUAUUAGCGUAGAGGUGCAGAAUGGUUAGACCCGUAGCUUUGCCUAAAGAGGCUGGGAUCAAACCUGUGAGAUUAUUAUUGUUUAAACUCAGGGUUUCAAGUGACUUUAGCUUCCCCAACUCAGGAGGGAUCGGACCAGAAAGUUUAUUUUUGAAAAGAUUCAAAAUUUACAGUUGAUUCAAGUUCCCUAGAGUGGGAGGUAUGGGCCCUGUCAGCAUGUUGGUGUCCAUGUAAACCUCUAGAAGAUUGGAGAGAUUUCCCAUUUCAGGGGGUAUAAAUCCAGAAAGAGAAUUAAGUUUAAACUCAAGGUUUCAAGUGACUUUAGCUUCCCCAACUCAGGAGGGAUCGAACCAGAAAGUUUAUUUUUGAAAAGAUUCAAAAUUUGCAGCUGAUUCAAGUUCCCUAGAGUGGGAGGUAUGGGCCCCGUCAGCAUGUUGGUGUCC